AGUACCUACUAUGAAAUGCUUUAAAAGUACCUAAACAAAUUAAAAAGCUACAUAUCAAACCUGCUAUAUGUAUUCCAAUAUGUCUUUAAAUAUAAUAACUAUUAUCUAACUAUAAUAUAAUAUAAAUAUACUAUAUACUAUAAUAUAAAUAAGGUAACUGCUUCCUGUAUGAGAUCGUUUUUCCCGAUAAGACCGCCCAUAGGGGAAUGGCCUCAAGAAUGGAUAGGGAUGAUGUCUACACUUCUGUUUCAUCAACGCAACAAUCGUUCAAGUACAGCUUACCAAGAACCGCAUAUUUCUGAUCUACAGUCAUACCGUCGAGAGUCCGAAAAGAAAAAGUUCGAAAAAAUAAAGCACUGAAACGACUACUAAGGAGACACUUCAAAAGGAAACGCGCUAAACACGAAGGUCAACCACCAAUAAAUGUAACCACUGCGGCAGCAUUUAAUAAAUGUCGGAUCAACGUCCCGAGCACUGCUUCAUACGGGAAAGGUAGCGCGAUGUCAAAAGCUCUUGAAAAACUUGACAUGCGCUAUCGACUCGUAGCAGGCGUCAGUCGACUACUACGACUUGUCCAUUUUACAAAACGCCUUCUUUUGCUAUUCACUUUAGUAAAAAGUUGAUAAGCG